UCCACGCCCUAAACGAUGAACACUAGUCGUCGGGAUGCUAGUCAUCUCGGUGAUGCACUUAACAGAUUAAGUGUUCCGCCUGGGGAGUACGGUCGCAAGAUUAAAACUCAAAGGAAGGUGAGGACGACGUCAAGUCAUCAUGGCCCUUAUGGCUAGGGCUACACACGUGCUACAAUGGGGCGUACAGAGAGUUGCGAUACCGCGAGGUGGAGCCAAUCUCAUAAAGCGUCUCUCAGUUCGGAUAGCAGUCUGCAACUCGACUGCUUGAAGCUGGAAUCACUAGUAAUCGUAGAUCAGCAAUGCUACGGUGAAUACGUUCCCGGG
rnacentral:rRNA from 1 species